CCUACGGGUGGCAGCAGUGAGGAAUAUUGGUCAAUGGGCGGGAGCCUGAACCAGCCAAGUCGCGUGAGGGAAGACGGUCCUAUGGAUUGUAAACCUCUUUAGGCGGGGAGCAAUGCCGGGCACGCGUGCCCGGAGGGAGAGGACCCGCAGAAUAAGCAGCGGCUAACUCCGUGCCAGCAGCCGCGGUAAUACGGAGGAUGCGAGCGUUAUCCGGAUUUAUGGGGUUUAAAGGGUGCGUAGGCGGAUUUUUAAGUCAGCGGUAAAAUGUCCGGGCUCAACCCGGGCCGGCCGUUGAAACUGGGGAUCUUGAGUGGGCGAGAAGUAUGCGGCAUGCGUGGUGUAGCGGUGACAUGCAUAGAUAUCACGCAGAACUCCGAUUGCGAAGGCAGCAUACCGGCGCCCGACUGACGCUGAGGCACGAAAGCGUGGGGAUCGAACAGGAUUAGAUACCCCUGUAGUC
rnacentral:rRNA from 1 species